UAUAUUUUAGUAUAUGAUGUACAAAAACUUUUGAUGUUUUUAGAGAUAG
rnacentral:tRNA from 1 species